rnacentral:tRNA from 1 species
GACCUUGUAGCUCAGUUGGUAGAGCAUUAUUGGACUAGAUAAUCAAAGGUCGUGGGUUCGAUUCCCACCGCGGUCA